AGGGUCAGCAAUAACCAUUUUGAUUUAAUCUAGAGCGCGGCUGCUCUUUAUCCUUUCUGGGCCCAGCUUUCUAAUGGCACUGUCACUAGAAAUGAACAAUAUUUAACUGGUAAAUUAACUUUUUAUCAAUUUAUUUUUAUUUUUGAAACACAUGUCGCGGACGCAGAAGUGCAUAUGUUUUUUUAAUCUUUUACAUCUCCGGCUGUUGCUUUUGUACUACAGUAUAAGCAUAGCACUACAGUACAGCACUGUGUUAUCAGAUGGUGGGCGAAUGGGGUUGCAUUAUUAAUCAACCUGACGGCACUUUCAGGCGUAAAUUUAUCUGGCGAGGAGACGCUGUAUCACACAGAAAAUAAGCCCAUUAAUUGAAUUUGUGAACGUCAGUAACCGUAUGGGCAGCCUGAUAGUUGCAGUACACGUCCUACCGAGGAUGAGCUGAUGAUGAAAGGUCGUUUCCUUUAAAGUAAGUAUGCAGGUAAAGUAAUUAUAAAGCCUGUCGAGUUGUAUC
rnacentral:lncRNA from 1 species